ensembl:lncRNA
GGGAGAGCCGCCAACGGCUGUGGUGUGGCGGGGCGUCGUGAGGCGCCGGCUGCAGGCGGGCGGGGCGCUGUGAGGAGAGCGGGAACAUGGAGCGUGAAGAGACAGGGAGCUUGGAUUUGAGGGACCUGUCGGUACCAGAAGCGUGGUAAAAUGCUGCUGUGUGUCAGGAGCCCAGCUGUUGCUCAACUUUCUGAAAGAAUCCUAAGGCAGCCUGUGCUUACCUAGCCUACAUAAUUACCUUGAGUGAAUCUUGCACUGCGACUCCGGGCUGAGCAGUCAUGCGUGGUGACCAUGUGUACUGAAAGAGGAGCUGGGCUUUAGAGGUCCCGAACCACAUCCCCAGAGCUGCCCGUUAGCUUCUAACUUCCUACCUGAAGUCUCUGGCAGCUUAUGGGGAUGCAGCACUCUCAUUCUCU